rnacentral:rRNA from 1 species
UAGGGAAUAUUGGACAAUGGGUGAGAGCCUGAUCCAGCCAUGCCGCGUGCAGGAAGAAGGCGUUAUGCGUUGUAAACUGCUUUUGCCAGGGGAUAAAAUGAGCGUGCGCGCUUAAUUGAAGGUACCUGGUGAAUAAGCCACGGCUAACUACGUGCCAGCAGCCGCGGUAAUACGUAGGUGGCAAGCGUUGUCCGGAUUUAUUGGGUUUAAAGGGUGCGUAGGUGGCCCUGUAAGUCAGUGGUGAAAUAUCUCAGCUUAACUGAGAGGGUGCCAUUGAUACUGCAGGGCUUGAGUACAGAUGAGGUAGGCGGAAUUGACGGUGUAGCGGUGAAAUGCAUAGAUAUCGUCAAGAACACCGAUAGCGAAGGCAGCUUACCAAGCUGUAACUGACACUGAGGCACGAAAGUGUGGGGAUCAAACAGGAUUAGAUACCCCUGUAGUCCCUGAG